UACGUAGGGUGCGAGCGUUAAUCGGAAUUACUGGGCGUAAAGCGUGCGCAGGCGGUCUGUUAAGACCGAUGUGAAAUCCCCGGGCUUAACCUGGGAACUGCAGUGGAUACUGGCAAGCUAGAGUGCGGUAGAGGAUGGUGGAAUUCCCGGUGUAGCGGUGAAAUGCGUAGAGAUCCGGAAGAACACCGGUGGCGAAGGCGGCCUGCUGGGCAGUAUGGCUGACACUGAGGCGCGACAGCGUGGGGAGCAAACAGG
rnacentral:rRNA from 1 species